rnacentral:rRNA from 2 species
UGGGGAAUAUUGCACAAUGGAGGGAACUCUGAUGCAGCGACGCCGCGUGAACGAAGAAGGCUUUCGUGUCGUAAAGUUCUUUUAUAUGGGAAGAUAAUGACGGUACCAUAAGAAAAAGCCCCGGCUAACUACGUGCCAGCAGCCGCGGUAAUACGUAGGGGGCUAGCGUUGUCCGGAAUCACUGGGCGUAAAGGGUUCGCAGGCGGAAAUGCAAGUCAGGUGUAAAAGGCAGUAGCUUAACUACUGUAAGCAUUUGAAACUGCAUAUCUUGAGAAGAGUAGAGGUAAGUGGAAUUUUUAGUGUAGCGGUGAAAUGCGUAGAUAUUAAAAAGAAUACCGGUGGCGAAGGCGACUUACUGGGCUCAUUCUGACGCUGAGGAACGAAAGCGUGGGUAGCAAACAGG